rnacentral:rRNA from 1 species
UACGUACGAGGCAAGCGUUAUCCGGAAUUACUGGGCGUAAAGCGCGCGCAGGCGGAUCGUUAAGUAGGGCGUGAGAUCUCCCGGCCUAACUGGGAGGGGUCGCCCUAAACUGGCAGUCUUGAGGACAGCAGAGGUAGGUGGAAUUCCUGGUGUAGUGGUGAAAUGCGUAGAGAUCAGGAGGAACACCGGUGGCGAAGGCGGCCUACUGGGCUGUCUCUG